GACGAACGCUGGCGGCGUGCCUAAUACAUGCAAGUAGAACGCACAGUUUAUACCGUAGCUUGCUACACCAUAGACUGUGAGUUGCGAACGGGUGAGUAACGCGUAGGUAACCUGCCUGGUAGCGGGGGAUAACUAUUGGAAACGAUAGCUAAUACCGCAUAAUAUUAAUUAUUGCAUGAUAAUUAAUUGAAAGGUGCAAUUGCACCACUACCAGAUGGACCUGCGUUGUAUUAGCUAGUAGGUGAGGUAACGGCUCACCUAGGCGACGAUACAUAGCCGACCUGAGAGGGUGAUCGGCCACACUGGGACUGAGACACGGCCCAGACUCCUACGGGAGGCAGCAGGAGGGAAUCUUCGGCAAUGGACGAAAGUCUGACCGAGCAACGCCGCGUGAGUGAAGAAGGGUGUCGGAUCGUAAAGCUCUGUUGUAAGAGAAGAACGGGUGUGAGAGUGGAAAGUUCACACUGUGACGGUAUCUUACCAGAAAGGGACGGCUAACUACGUG
rnacentral:rRNA from 1 species